rnacentral:rRNA from 1 species
AUGCGCAUGCGGGUGCUGCCGGCCUUCACCUUCAGCACCGCCCCGCCGCCGCCUCCAUCGGAUCCUCCUCCUUCGGCUGCUCCGGCGCCGCCGCCUCCUGCUACCUACGCGGUCUACCUCAACAUCUACGACAUCUCCCCCAUCAACAACUACCUCUACUGGUUCGGCCUCGGCAUCUUCCACUCCGCCGUACAAGUGCAUGGUAUGGAGUUUGGGUACGGAGCCCAUGAAUACGCGACCAGCGGAGUGUUCCAAGUAGAACCGAAAAGCUGUCCUGGUUUUAUCUUCAGGCGCUCCGUGUGUAUGGGUACCACCAAUAUGUCCCGGGCUGAAGUUCGCGCUUUCCUAGAGGAUCUUGCAGAGGAUUAUCAUGGGGACACCUAUCACUUGAUUGUCAAGAACUGUAACCAUUUCACAGCUGACGUCUGUAAGCGUUUGACCGGAAAGCCAACUCCUGGAUGGGUGAAUCGACUUGCCAGAUUAGGUUCCGUCUGCAACUGUGUUCUGCCUGAAAACAUCAAGGUUUCAGCGGUCAGAGAUGAAACUGCACACCUUGAAUUUUCCGAUGAUGAUUUGGAGUCGGACACAUCGAUCAUCGACAGCGACAUCGGUGAUCUAGAUCACCUCCUCACAACACCAAAUAGCGAUGUCGUACCCCCGAAAGACAAGACGUUAACUCCUGAAAGGGAUAGCUUGUAA